AAUUCUAUUUAAUUUUAUUCCUUUCGAUUACACAAUUACGCAUUGCUUUCACCUUGUAAUCUUUUUUAAAAGGCAAAACACUGUAUUACAAUAUGAGAAUAUGGAACAAUAAAAUGAGAACACACUUAAGAUAACAGACCUUGGAUGGAUUCCACUGUGGAGAAUGUAAGCAGGUCAUUUCACCUCUUUAGAGUUCUGUUUCAUCUUCAGGAAAACAACAGGGUUGGCAGGGUGAUCCUAUAAUCUCAUGCAUUUAUUCAUUAAAUGACACUGUUUUUUGAGUACCCAUUUUAUUACAAACAUUAAAUUAGGCUCAUAUAAUAAAUCUCUGGCUUCAUGAAACUUUAUGAAACUAGCUUUAUUUAGAUUUUUUUCCUUUUUUUUUUUUUUUUUUUUUUUGAGAAAGGGUCUUGCUCUGUCACCAAGGCUGGACAGGCUACAAUGCAGUGGUGUGAUCACAGCUCACUUCAGUCUCAAUCUCCCAGGAUCAGGCCAUCCUAUCGCCUCAGCCCUCCAGUAGCUGGGACUACAGAUGGAUGCUACUACACUCAGCUAUUCUUUUCUGUAUUUUUUUAGACGGGGUUUCACCUUUUGCUCAGGCUGGUCUUGAACUCCUCAGCUCAAGUGAUCCAUCUGCCUUGGCCUCUCAAAGUACUGGGAUUACAGGCGUGAGCCAUCAUUCCUGGCCAGAAUUUUUAGAAUUAUUAUUUCAUCCCAUUGCAUCAUCAGAAACCUUAGCAUCUUGCAAUACAGUAUAUGUUGGGACAAAACGAUUAUGGUGUAUAGGAUACUGUGAAGCAGAGGCUGGAAAGCUGAAAAUCACAUUAUCCAGAUUCCCUUGAAGCUGAGAUUCUGGAUAUG
rnacentral:lncRNA from 10 species